UUAAAAAUCAACCGUUCACUGCCAAAGACAAGUUAUUAUUCAUAACAGAAAAUGUAUUGUGAGCCAUCAAAGUUUAGAGAACAUGUUAAAAAACGCUGAAGCUGGCUCAGAACUUUUUUUGUAAAGGCUGGCGGGUAAAGAGCUAACGUUGGCUGUGUUUUGUGUCAGUUACAAUUAACAUUAAGUUGAGUAAUUUCAUGCAACUACAGGAACAAUGUGUAAAUAAAUCAGGGGUUCCAAACCUUCUUCCUUUGGGACAUCCGCCCUAAUUGUUUGUAUUAAACACAAAAUGUGACAGCAAGUGUCACAUUCAGUUUAGAAGUAGUCAUGUGUCCAGGUGUGUGUACAUAUUAAUGAACAGAUUUUUCUUUCAGGAUUCCAAAGGAAUAUUUUCCAUGCUUUUCGGUUUUAAAGAUGAACUUAAGUGAAUAUCUGGCAUUCUGGAACAUGGCAAGUCUACAUCUUCUAUUAAGAGAUUGCAUUGUGACAAAGAAUGUGUGUGUUUGUGCGGAUGUAGUUUGUGUUUGUUUGUUUUUCUCUAUCUCUUUCUCUGUGUAGAUACAAAUAUUUGGGUAGUAAACAAAAGAACCAUAGUGACAGCAACAAAUCUGAAAACAAAACUGUAAUUUUUCUGAGGUGAAGUAAUCCGGAGUCAUUUAUUUCACAGAAUCACGUUAAAUGCAUUUAUGGUGAAAUUCAUUAUGAGGGGUGGUGGUCAACUUAAAAAGAAGCCAUUCAAAGCUAUACUAUGUAAUUCAAGGUAAUUUUGGCCUUAUGACAUUGCAAAAAUCUCUUGUUCCUUGUCUAUUUUUUCAUUUAUGUAAUUUUUAUUUUCUCUAUUUAGUGGACUUCUCUGUAAGAACAUCAGGUUUUACCAGAAAUACCACUUUUACAAAGUUUACAGGGUCUUUCUCAAGGGCACCGCUAAUCUAACAUAUAUUCUUUGUCACAAUCUAGACUCUUCAUAGAAGAUGAAGACUUGCCAUGAUCAAGAAUAACAGCUAUUUGCUGAAGUUCAUCUUUCAAAACGAACAGCAUGGAGUACAGUACUCAUCAGAUGCUGUGAACAGGUGUAGCCCAAAUGCAACAGAUUCAGACUUUGAUGCAGCAAUGGCAGAUCACCUGAAGCACACUGGGGUUGAUGGAUACUUGUUUUAUGGCUGUUUUAACAGUAAUACAAGACUGUUAGGAAAUAA